rnacentral:rRNA from 1 species
UACAGGGGGGGCAAGCGUUGUUCGGAAUUACUGGGCGUAAAGGGCUCGUAGGUGGCCAACUAAGUCAGACGUGAAAUCCCUCAGCUUAACUGGGGAACUGCGUCUGAUACUGGAUGGCUUGAGUUUGGGAGAGGGAUGCGGAAUUCCAGGUGUAGCGGUGAAAUGCGUAGAUAUCAGGAGGAACACCUGUGGUGUAGACAGCUUACUGGACCACUUCUGACGCUGAGACACGAAAGCGUGGGUAGCAAACAGG